rnacentral:rRNA from 1 species
GACGAACGCUGGCGGCGCGCCUAACACAUGCAAGUCGAACGGAGCUUAAAGAGCUUGCUUUUUAAGCUUAGUGGCGAACGGGUGAGUAACGCGUGAGUAACCUGCCCUGGAGUGGGGGACAACAGUUGGCAACGACUGCUAAUACCGCAUAAGCCCACGGAUCCGCAUGGAUCUGCGGGAAAAGGAUUUAUUCGCUUCAGGAUGGACUCGCGUCCAAUUAGCUAGUUGGUAAGGUAACGGCCCACCAAGGCGACGAUUGGUAGCCGGACUGAGAGGUUGAACGGCCACAUUGGGACUGAGACACGGCCCAGACUCCUACGGGAGGCAGCAGUGGGGGAUAUUGCACAAUGGGGGAAACCCUGAUGCAGCGACGCCGCGUGGAGGAAGAAGGUUUUCGGAUUGUAAACUCCUGUCGUUAGGGACGAUAAUGACGGUACCUAACAAGAAAGCACCGGCUAACUACGUGCCAGCCGCCGCGAUAA